CACACCUGUCCUGAUCAUCACCUCUCCCCUUCAAAAGCUCUGACCUGACAUCCAUUCCCUGCCGGAUCGUUAGCCAUGAACACCAUUCACCCGGAACCCAUACCCCAUCCCUGUCUGCUCGUCGCCAGUGUGUUGUUAUCCAUUGGAUCUGCCUAUCCACUCCCAUCAACCCACCUCCGCUGCCCGCUCCUCCACCCGGAACUAUCUACCUCCACGUUCUCAUUGAUUAAUAAAUACUCACCAUCUUUAUA